rnacentral:rRNA from 1 species
CAAUAGCGUAUAUUAAAGUUGUUGCAGUUAAAAAGCUCGUAGUUGGAUUUCUGGUGGGAGCGAUCGGUCUGGCGCUUAGCGCGAGUACUUGCAUCGUCUCCGGCCAUCCUUGGGGAGAGUCUGUCUGGCAUUAAGUUGUCGGGCAGAGGAUCCUCAUCGUUUACUGUGAAAAAAUUAGAGUGUUCAAAGCAGGCUUAUGCCGUUGAAUAUAUUAGCAUGGAAUAAUAAGAUAGGACUUUGGUACUAUUAUGUUGGUUUGCGCACCAAAGUAAUGAUUAAUAGGGACAGUUGGGGGUAUUCGUAUUCCGUUGUCAGAGGUGAAAUUCUUGGAUUUACGGAAGACGAACUACUGCGAAAGCAUUUACCAAGGAUGUUUUCAUUAA